rnacentral:rRNA from 1 species
GACGAACGCUGGCGGCGUGCUUAACACAUGCAAGUCGAACGGAAAGGCCCUGCUUGCAGGGUACUCGAGUGGCGAACGGGUGAGUAACACGUGGGUGAUCUGCCCUGCACUUCGGGAUAAGCUUGGGAAACUGGGUCUAAUACCGGAUAGGACCGCACUUUAGUGUGUGUGGUGGAAAGUUUUUUCGGUGUGGGAUGAGCUCGCGGCCUAUCAGCUUGUUGGUGGGGUAAUGGCCUACCAAGGCGGCGACGGGUAGCCGGCCUGAGAGGGUGUACGGCCACAUUGGGACUGAGAUACGGCCCAGACUCCUACGGGAGGCAGCAGUGGGGAAUAUUGCACAAUGGGCGCAAGCCUGAUGCAGCGACGCCGCGUGGGGGAUGAAGGCCUUCGGGUUGUAAACUCCUUUCGCUAGGGACGAAGCUUUUUGUGACGGUACCUAGAUAAGAAGCACCGGCUAACUACGUG